AGAGCUACCGGUAUUAGAUAUUUUUUUAGCGGUAUGAUCUGGGAGCUGCAGUUGUUGGGGUCGUCAAUUCGACCUUACUUUUGUUUUGUUGAGCAAAUCAGGGCCCCUACCUUCAGAUUAUUACAUCUAGAAGUGCACACGCUUAACGCUUGUGAAUGAGAGUUUUACAAACCAGAGCACAACGAGUGCAUCCGGAGUGGUUGAUGCAUUAGGGAGAGAGGGGGGAGUUCAGUUUUGCCAAAUUAAUAGAGAGCCUUCAUCUUUUUCUGUCCUGGGCAUCCAUAUUUUGACCAAAUUCACACAUUGUUUCAUGACUGGAGGUAUAUUAAUGUCAUCAGAGACCUUUCGAUUCCUUGCAAGCCAAAUGGACCAGAGAGUAUAUGGUUCACUGUUUUUGUCUCACAGAGAAGCUUGUCACCCGUGUUAAAAAUGCCAGCCCAUUCUUUCACAUCAUCUAGCCUUAUGCCCAUAAGGCCCCAUAUAUGUUUCAUCCUGAUGCACUUCAGAGUUAAAUGUGCAGCCGUUUCUUGGUCGUUGCAUCCAAAGGGGCAGGUAUCACUGUCGUCGAGUCCCUGCUUUUUAAGGAGCUCUCUGACUUUGAUCUGGUUUCUGAUGAGCGUCCAGGCAAUUUGUUUCCCUUUUUUUUUGGUGACAAGCAGUCCCAAAUACAUCGAUAAAUGAGCCCAGUACAUCCUCCAAAAUUUGUAAGCUGAUGGGAUUUCCUGACUGAAAAUUCCACUAAGUGCUUCAUUCUAAGAGCUCGUUUAUCCAAGGAUCAAACCUUGAGAUAGACAAAACUGAGGAAUUGAGCUAGAACCUUGAGUUCUCCGGGCCUGGCUUUUAUCUUGUGCAAUAUCUUUAGUCACUUCCCAAAUCUCUAAGUAAAAUGUGUAGGUAGGCUGGAUAAAUCAAAUGAAUUUGGAUACAGCAGGUUGAGAUCGAUAAAAGUGAAGUGGACAUGACUGCAAGGUUUAAAUUCAAACAUAUUUGAAUUUAAUUCAAAUGGGUAACUAGGACUAGGUUCUAGAAAGUGCCCAAAAAUGUUGAGAUUUUUUUGUGGAGCUUUGAUAAAUGCAGAAAGAUUUGUGGGCAAGGAUUUGGGGAAUUUCAGAUGGCUUUAAUUUAAACAAGUCAUCUUUAGUGCUGCUGGACUGUAACAGUCAGACAUACCAUCGACCCUAAGGCUCUUUUUUUAACAUGCUGACGCUAAUGCUCUUUUCCUGAUUAAUGAUUGACAUGCAUUUCUUUUAGACUUUAUUAUCAUGCUGGAUUCUACGUUGUUGUGUAUUUUGUUUGACGGGACGACUAGUGUUCUUCGUAGUGAACUCACUAUGGGACAUUAUGCUUAUGUAUAACAAAAACAAAAUUGGAAAAAAAUAUAUUAAAUUUGUUUCUCCCGUUACAACGCACGGGCAUAUGUGCUAUAUAUAGAAAGUCUAUUAGUAACCCAGGGUGAAGAAUAAGUAAUUCUUCACCCUGGUCGAUCGACCAAGCCAGCCAUACUUUCGGUCCAACCACGCCACGGUCGUGAGAUGGGAAAAAAAACCACCGUCCCGUGACUCUAAAAUUACAGCAUGGUCGAGCUAAUCUUACGUUUUGGAGGUUGACUCAAACUAGCCCACCUCCACGUCCUUUUCUAGUCCGCCGCGAACAGUUGUUUUUAGUAUUUUCUAAAAAUAAGAGGCCGCGAACGGUUUUGACAGUAUUGACGGCGAACGGUGGUAUGGUGCUCCACGGGUUGGCUCGAAGGGAAGCCGUCGGUGCAUGGCGGUGUGCUGCUCGGCAGUGUGGUUAGAGGACGGUGGCUCGAGGUUGUGUUCGUCGCUGGGCAGGUGAUCUGGCGUGAUGUUUGGCGGCUGCCUAGGUCUUGGGAGGUGCCAUGAUUGGUGAUCGCGGCGCAGCUUUGGGUUGUGAUGGCGAUGUCAUGAAACUGCAGUGGGUGGUCGUGCCUGAUCUGCUCCGUGUGUGUAAGUCCAUGGGAGGAGGUGAGCAUCUUCAAUUCUAAUGCUCUCUUUUACAAAUUUUCAUUAUGAAGGGUUCAGUACCAGAUUUGCUGUGUUGUCAUUGUUAUCUGGGAGGUGAUGAUGUGUUUUAUUUUGCAAGAGCUCAUGGAAGAACCGGGAGAUCAGUUGUUAGUCACUGUUGUGCUUCUUCCUUUCUGAAUAAUCUUGGGGAGGGCCAAUGACAGAGUUUUACAUCAGUUUUUGGGGACAGGUAGAAAACAGAGAAGGGAGGGGAUAGGAUCGAGCGCCCACAGAUGAAAGCUGAACCCAAACCGUGUUUCCUUUUGUUUCUUAUUAGGCCCUUGUGCUCCUGGAUUUUUUUUUUUUGGGUCUAAUGGCUGUUACUUGGUGCGUGCGAUGGCAGGAAGUACUUCUCAGCAAAAGCAAUGCCUCUGCAUGUGGCAACAAGAUCCAAGUAGAUUGCUUGAUAACCGACUAUAGGAUUCAUGCCUCUUCUAGCCUGAACUUAGUAAGCUGCGGAAAUAAACAAUAGAAAAGGUAAAGAACCACCACAGGGAUAUGUAACAGUGGGAGUUUUGAGUACUAUCUGGAUGUGUUCUCAGUUCUUUUCUGGUAUAUAUGCUUGUGUGCCUCUCCUACGUACAUGGUGUUUUUUUGGAUAGGUUCGUGAGAUACAAGUGGAUGAUAUUUAUGGAUUGCACUUGGCUUGUCAUGUGUUCAUGACUGCCUGUCAGAGCUGGUAUCCUCAGCAAACUGUUUUUGCUUCUUGUAAAGCGGGGUGUGACAAUUUUGUCUAAAGAAGUAACUUAGAUACCACCUUAUGUGCCGGUGUUUGUGUUCUUGCAUGUACCACUCUGUAACUGCUUCUUUGGAUCACUCUCUAGUGUUUGCACUGUGGUGGGUGGUGGUCGAUUCGCAGCACCGGAGCAGUUGUGCAGGGUCGCGGGUGGUCGUCGAUUCGCAGCACCAGAGCAGUUGUGCAGCGUCGCGGGCGGUCGUCGUGCAGCGUUGCUGGUGGUUCUCGGUGUCAGGCUACGUUGACUGUUGACUUGCUUGUUGAUGUGCUCUGCAUCUCCUCCCACCACGAUGGUCGGCAACCAGGCCUUCGCUGCUGGAGCUCUUCAGUAUCGCCCCCUCUACAUAAAUUUGCAGGAAGCCAUGAAGUUUACAGGCACUACUCCCAGCAGGGUUAAGAAAAUCCAUUUUCAAUGGAGUCAAUAUUCUUUAGAAUUUCAUUUUGAUGACUGUCAGGGUCAGGCGCACCAAAGGAUGGACUGUGGUUCCAUGUCCAAAGGGACAAUACUGGACCGGCAGAUGAGCGGGCUCUUGCUGAUGCAACUCCUUCUGCUGCUCAUCAACCUGUCGUUUCAUUCUCUCCUCCUCGGCUAGUCCGUCAAAGGCCACCAGAUGAUUUCCGAACAAGAAGUUUCCUGCAAAGAGAUGGGAGAGGGCAGCGACACCCAGUGAACAUAAUUUUGUUGAUCCUCCAGCAAGUGUGACCAAGAAUGUUGGAUCAAAGCUUUGUUCUGGAAGUUCUAAUCGAUAGUUUCUGUAUUGCAUACAAAGGGUAAUCAAUGCUGGGCUAAAGAUCUCUGCUACAUGUUCCAUGGGUUGAGUAUAACCAAUCAUGUUGCUUAUUUUUAGGAGAAGUUCAGACCUGUGAGAAACCAGAUGUAAAUUACAAAGCUGCUCCUAUUUAUAUAUUUGUAGAUGUUCUUUA